UUGUAUUUCCCACCGGGGGGGAUGAGAACCCCCGACCGGGGUUCGACAACUGGCAACGCCAGUUGGACAGACCGCGAGCCUGCGAGCGGGCUGCCCCGCAGGGGCGAGCGAAGCGAGUCAAUCCCCCCCUCACCGCCA
rnacentral:sRNA from 1 species